UACAGAGGGGGCAAGCGUUGUUCGGAAUUACUGGGCGUAAAGGGCGCGUAGGCGGCCUUCUAAGUCGAACGUGAAAUCCCCGGGCUCAACCCGGGAACUGCGUCCGAUACUGGAAGGCUUGAAUCCGGGAGAGGGAUGUGGAAUUCCAGGUGUAGCGGUGAAAUGCGUAGAUAUCGGGAGGAACACCGGUGGCGAAGGCGGAUCUCUGGGCCAUUACUGACGCUGAGGAGCGAAAGCGUGGGGAGCGAACAGG
rnacentral:rRNA from 1 species